AAGGUCAGCUGUAAGUCUGUAUAAUGAUAUUACAUUGUAGAGACAGUUAAUCAGUGACUACAUUUCCCAUAGUCCUUAAGGCAACGUCGCCUGCAUUACCCAGAGGGCUGUGCGAUGUUCGUGAGAACCGUGAGCGUCCGUGGAAACAAAAAAGAGCUCCCAAUUUUCUUAACUGGCUCCAGGACAGGACGUUUUCGGGAGAAGAUAGCACCUCCACCAUCUGCACAAGGGUCCCCUCCCAUCACCAGCUUCAGCCAAUUGAGUCUUGGGAGCACCAGUCCCUCCAAGCCAGCGUUGUGACCUAAGGACUGAGGACAAGGAGUUCAGCUCAGAUCAGGAACUUGCUGAAAGAAGACCCCACCGGUAGCUCAUGCAGACUCAGUGAAACUUUGCAGGCACCAGUGCUGGAAUACCGCUCAGAAUGUUCCAGUACCUUAGACCAGCAUCAGGGAACCUUCCAGAGGGGAAGUCAAGCAGCUUGCCCACCCAUGGGAAGAGUUUGAAGAGUUUCAAACAGGAGAAACAAAAUCUGUGAAGGUGACGAGAGUGAUCAAACCUGCAGGC